ensembl:lncRNA
GGCAGAGUUCCACAAAUAGCUGGGAAGUUAUAUUAAGAGGCUGUGUGAUGUCCUGCCAGGGUCUUUACUAGGUCUCCAGAGCACAAAGGUUAUACACUAUUUAUUUAUAGAGGAGGAUGAUACUGUACAAACCAUACGCGGUUUUAGUAAGCUUCAACUUCUAACCUAAGCACUUCUGUCAGUUUGUGGAAUAAUGACUGUACACCACAUUUUCAGAAAUGGUACUUGAGUACACCUGUGACUGAAAGGUGUCCUCUUUAGCUAAUGUAUGGUCUUGAUUCAAGAAAAAUCAUCAGACACGUGCAACAGAAUAAGCUGAGAAGUGCAAGAAUGUCUGACAAGGCCCUAAGGCUCUUUACAGCUUGCAGUGAAGCUUCAUUAUUGUGAAGAAUUUUAAGGAUCAUCACACGUGGAGAGAACAAGAGGAAUUUCUUUUUCCUGCCAUGCUGCUGAUAUGGAUAUAUGCAAGGCACGUAAGCAACAGAUGCAUGAAGAAUGGCUCCUGGUUGUGCUGAAGGUCAGCUGCCUUGUGGUGAAGUAGCCCAAAGAAAAACUCACUUCGAAGAGAGAACUCCUUCUUGAAGUUCCUAUGUUUCCAAUUGCUCUGACCAUGCCGUUAGUAUAUUCCUGCAAGCGUUUAGAUUAAGAGAUUUAUUGGUGCUUAUAAAGAUCUCAACUGCAGCUAACACAUCACCUUCCAAACUGAAGGAAACAUUUUGCACAGUGGGAAAAGAAACGGUCCUUCCUUCCCUAAGCUUUAACAUAAGCAGGUAGGAAUGCAGGCACGCACCACAGCAGUUUCUCUCUGAAAUACGCAAAUGAUAUGGUGUCAUGACAAACAGAAGUCCAUUUUCUAUCACUGAUAUCAAAAGAUCCUUCUUUGUCUUCCAAAAGAGUUUCAGUGCAUUUAGUUCACAAACAAUUGUGCUCUGUUCUGAUCCAGACCUUCAUGAGUUACUUUGGCUUUUAACAAAAAUGGCAGGGAGACUUCCACAGAAGAAGCAGAGCAGUAAAAUAGUGAGACUUAAACUGGCCACACCUGAGUAACAGCACAGUUUGCUUAUGGUGAGAUACAGCUACCAUGUCAUCUGUUACCUAUUCAAAGCAUCAGUUCCUUCAGGGUAAGCUAUAAUCAAGGCAUAUGAAGACAUUUAAACGAGCAGGCUGUAGCUGAUCGAAACCACGCUCUGCAAGGCAACAGAGUGGAGCUCACUUUGAGAUGGCUGUACAGUACAAGUAUGUGUCAAUAUCAUGUUUACAUUUUGCCUUACAGUAUCUCAGGCACGUUGAACCCACAGCACAUGGGCCACAUGCAGUCCAGCACAGCUCAUAGUGUGGCCUGCUCCCUGCCCAGCACCAUCACUGCAGCAGCUCUUCCCCACCAGGCUGAACUAUGAACCCUAUCUGGGUUGAAA